UCCGAUAUGGUGUAGUGGCUAACAUUAUCGCCUCUCAUUCUGAACGCGAUAGCCCGGGGUUCGAUUCCCCGUGUCGGAA
rnacentral:tRNA from 1 species